GACUGAAGUACUGCAUGUUCUUGAAUAUCAUCCUUUUUCAGGUAUCAGCCAACUGUUACAGGAUCUUAGGGAGAGGAACAUGCGAUUUGACAGAUCUGCUUCCCUGACAAGAAAAGUCAAGCUGUUUAGAGAUGAAGAGCUGGACCAGAGCAGCUACCAAUCAAAAAUCUCCCUUAAAAGAUGAACAGGACUGUAUACACUCCUUUGGAUGUUGGCAUCAGCUUCCCCUGCUAAGUUUCUGCUCUGCAACCUCAUCAUAGAAUUUCACACUGGGUUAAAUUUUGGCAUGAUUCGGAAGAAGAUGAGCCAGGAAUUAAUGAAGAGGAAGAUUCAACAACAUGAUAACCAGAAGCUAAUGCUACUACUGCUUGAAAAAUUGAGUUUUCAGGUUUGUAAAGGACAAGAGGGGUUCAAUGCACCGACCAUAUCCAACUGCAAGUUGUCUGAUGAGAGAAAAGGACAUGAGCAGCUCACUAAUCUUUCUUGCAGGCUUCUGCAUCCAUUAUAUUCCUUCCAGUCAAGUGGAAGCAAGAUGAAAUUUUGGAAGACUCAAGUGAUAUUGAAAAGAGAAGCAGGGCAGGAGCACUGCCCAGAGGAAAAAUGAUGGAAGAAGGAACAGGGAGAUGAAGAAAAGGAACUUUAUUUAGCUUUCUUUCUCCUUUCUGAGGGGCUCCAAGAACCUUCUUCAAGAUUUACAUGUAUUGAACGAGUUAUUCUUAACAGUAAAAGUGAAGGACCCACUCCAAGAAUUAGGUCAUACAUUCCAGCUUCCUGACAAUAAAUAAUGGAAAAAGAUCUGAGUGAAGGUUAUC
rnacentral:lncRNA from 1 species